rnacentral:rRNA from 1 species
UACAGAGGGUGCGAGCGUUGUCCGGAAUCACUGGGCGUAAAGGGCGCGUAGGCGGCCUGAUAAGUAGGGGGUGAAAUCUUGCGGCUCAACCGCAAGGCUGCCUUCUAAACUGUCAGGCUGGAGCACGGUAGAGGCAGAUGGAAUUCCCGGUGUAGCGGUGGAAUGCGUAGAGAUCGGGAAGAACACCAGUGGCGAAGGCGGUCUGCUGGGCAGUUGCUGACACUGAGGCGCGACAGCGUGGGGAGCAAACAGG